AGUAAAUGUACCUGGUGUUGAUAACCAGUCUUUUGUUUUUGUUUUUCCAGUGAUAAUUUUAAUUGCGGGGGUGGAGGCAAGAUGAAUAAUGGAAACAACAACUGCAGGUUACCUUGAAAUGAAGGAGCAUGCAAGGCAAGAACUGGAAGCGCACUCAGCUCCCAGAGACUUGAAAACUGUAGGUAGAACAGGGAAGUGCAGCUGUGGGAGUAAAUGUGGUGCCAGAGAUCUAGGGAAAAGCUAAGGUCAUCCUUCCUCCCCUUCUUAGCUAUGCUUUGGAAGAGGGCAGAGAAAAUUGUAACCUGGGUAAAUGCAGGUCUGCUAUGCUCACCAGAAGGGUACCUUAAAGAAGGAGUUUCAAGUAUAACCAAAGACAGAUAUAAGUCAGAUGAAAUGUCAGAUUGAUACCAGCUUGCAUGUUUCGUGUGAUGCAUGAUGUUAGAAUCAUAGAAUCCUUAUGGUUGGAAGGGACCUCUGAGGGCCAUCUAGUCCAACUCCCCUGCAAUAAGCAGGGACACCACAGCUAGGUCACGUUGCCCAGGGCCUUAUCCAGCCUUGCCUUGAAAGUCUCCAGAAACAGAGCAUCAACAACAUCACUAGACAAUUUUAGGGCAGAUACCAAAUAAUGGACAGUAGUUUGAUAGGGAAAUUAUUAGCAAUUCUGGAGCAGAUUAGAAUUCAAGAGAUCAACAACAUGGGUAAAGUGCAAGGACAGAGGGAAACAGUGCUCAGAGCAAAGCUGAAUGGAAUGUAUUGGGCUGGGGGAGGUUACCAAUGACAUCCAGAGGUGUUCUUCUUGGAACUAAUUCUUGUUUUUUAUUUCUUUUCAAUGAUUUUGGCAGGAAAAGAAAACCCAACACCAAGUUGAUGAGAAAAGAAAUGAAAAGAAUUGCUGUUAAGAAAAGGAUGCAUUUAUGAGAUUAUUGUGAGACCCACUUUUGAUACUGAAAGGCCGCUCUCAGGUCUCCCUGGAGCCUUCCCUUCUCCAGGCUGCACAGCCCCAACUCUCUCAGCCUAA
ensembl:lncRNA